rnacentral:rRNA from 1 species
CGGGCCGCACAAGCGGUGGAGCAUGUGGUUAAUUCGACGCAACGCGAAGAACCUUACCGAGGGCUUGACAUCCCCUGACCGCGUAUGAAAGUACGUUUUCACCCUCGGGUGACAGGGAGACAGGUGGUGCAUGGGUUGUCGUCAGCUCGUGUCGUGAGAUGUUGGGUUAAGUCCCGCAACGAGCGCAACCCCUACGUUUAGUUGCUAACAGGUGAAGCUGAGCACUCUAGACGAACUGCCGUUGACAAAACGGAGGAAGGUGGGAUGACGUCAAAUCAUCAUGCCCCUUAUGUUCUGGGCUACACACGUGCUACAAUGGCCGGUACAGACGGACGCAAAGCCGCGAGGCGGAGCAAAUCCGAAAAGCCGGUCUCAGUUCGGAUUGCAGGCUGCAAUUCGCCUGCAUGAAGUCGGAAUCGCUAGUAAUCGCAGGUCAGCAUACUGCGGUGAAUACGUUCCCGGGCCUU